GGGAAACCACACACUUAUUUCCCCCCGAGUCAUAUUAUUAUCUCCCAAGAAUCCAGCACUCUAGGGAAGGAAAACAGGUAUUUAAACUUCCGAGAGGUAGCAAUUCUUGGGAAAGAAGGGGAGAGAGAAGAAGGAAAAUCUUUCAAGCAGGAUGCGGGUGGGGGGCAGUAAGAAGCUGGGAACGAUCACCGAUCACCGUGCUAAGAGGUUUGCAGAGCUGGCGUGAACUGCUGGCAGUCCCUGGCUUUGACACACCUCACCCCGAUCGUCGGCAUCGCUUAGAGGUCUCCCUGUGUGUCAUCACGUUGUUUUCCCUCUGUG
ensembl:lncRNA